CCUACGUGAGGCUGCAGUGGGGGAUAUUGCACAAUGGGAGGAACCCUGAUGCAGCGACGCCGCGUGGGUGAAGAAGCGCCUCGGCGCGUAAAGCCCUGUCAGCAGGGAAGAAAAUGACGGUACCUGAAGAAGAAGCCCCGGCUCACUACGUGCCAACAGCCGCGGUAAUACGUAGGGGGCAAGGGUUAUCCGGAUUUACUGGGUGUAAAGGGGGCGCAGACGGCGAUGCAAGCCAGGAGUGAAAGCCCGGAGCCGAACCCCGGGACUGCUGUUGGAGCUGCGUGGCUGGAGUGCGGGAGGGGCAGGCGGAAUGCGUGGUGUAGCGGUGAAAUGCGUAGAUAUCAGGCGGAACACCGGUGGCGAAGGCAGCCUGCUGGACUGCAACUGACGUUGAGGCCCGAAAGCGUGGGGAGCAAACAGGAUUAGAUACCCUAGUAGUC
rnacentral:rRNA from 1 species